CUUUCAAGGUCCUGUAUGAAAGAUAGUAAUUGUGUCUCACAGAGCGUUUUGAUCGGAAACCAGGUUGUAAAUCAUAUAAAAUAUUGUUUUUUUCGAGUUGUUCCAUUACUUGACUAGCUAAGAUAUGUUCCAUAUUUUUGCAAAGUAUACAUGUUAGUGAAAUUGGCCUGUAAUUUAUGGCAUUGUUUUUGUCGCCUUUUUUGAAUGCAGGACAGACAUUUGCAUGUUUCCAGUCUGUAGGUAUUUUAUGAGUGUUAAUUGACUUUUGAAAGAUGAGUG
rnacentral:lncRNA from 1 species